GAUUGACGGACUGAAGGCUCUUUCUCGAUUCCGUGGAAAGUGGUGCAUGGCCGUUUUGGUUGGUGGAUCGAUCCGUCUGGUUAAUUCCGUUAACGAACGAGACCUCGGCACUCCGAAUAGCGCGGCGGACGUCGCGGCCUCCGGGCCGUCUUCCGCACGAGCUUCUUAGAGGGACCGUCCCCCGCCGGGGAAGGAGGUGCGAGGCAACGACAGGUCUGUGAUGCCCUUAGAUGUUCUGGGCCGCACGCGCAUUACACUGACGCGUCCAACGGGUGACUCCCGACCCGAAGGGGCCGGGGAAUCCGCAAGGCGCGUCGUGAUGGGGAUUGAACGUUGCAAUUGUUGUUCACGAACGAGGAAUUCCUAGUAGGCGCGGGUCAUCAACCCGCGCCGAUUACGUCCCUGCCC
rnacentral:rRNA from 1 species